UGGAGCUGGAGCUUGGGCCUCUGAAGAGUGGAUGCCGCUUGCUAGUGCUGAUGUCUCUGAGCUCAAAGGAGUCUGAGGCUCAGACUCUGAGAAGCCUGGUGUCCACAUUUUGGAGGGCAGUGCAACCAAGCUGGUUCUGAAGUGUUUGGGAGAACUGUCACCUGGAUUCUUCCACUGCAAUGGGAAGGAACUGCCACUGCCAGAGUGAAGAAGCGGUGUUGGGUGACACUCACAGGACUAGGACGCGGACAGGAAAGAGAGGAUAAGGUGAGAUUCCUUCACAAAUGGUGGCUCCAACUGGAAUUCAUUGUCCCAAAUUCUGAGAACUCCUGAGGAAAGAUCCAAAAGUAAUAUGGCUCAAGAUUUUUGAACUGCCCAGGCUCUACUCAGGCUCUUGGACAUCUUGCCCAUCUCAAAGGUCUCUCCUGCCUACUGCCGGCCCUACCCACAAGAUGUGAACUUCAGAGCCUUCUUGCAACUGCUUCUUGGCUAUUUUCACCCUCUAACCCUCUGGAAGAAGAAUGAGGACUAUUAUGAAGGCAAAAGCAUAAAAGGGGAAAAGAUUAGCCUCCAGAGUAGGAAGAUUGGGUUGUUGGAAGCCAGCACAAGUCUUCCCCUGAAAGAGUUAAUUCGCCUCCAAUGGGGGUAGGGACUGACCUGGGAGGGGCCUCAGCCUACAUAGGACAGGCCUAAAGGCCCCAUUGGGGCUGAAGGUGACACUGGGUCAGAUCCCUAGGAUUCUGCAACUUGAGGUGGGAGUGUCUAUAAGCUGGAAACAAAAGUUUCAAAAAAAAAAAAAAAGCUCAUUUUGUUUUCAAUUCGUUUUA
rnacentral:lncRNA from 1 species